rnacentral:tRNA from 1 species
GCCCAUGGCUCAGUGGCUAGAGCGUUGGACUUCUGGUCAACAGGUUGCGGGUACGAUUCUCGCGUUGGGCA